GCUCUGCCUGCUCCGCCUGGCUCUGCCUGCUCCGCCUGGCUCUGCCAAGCAGCUCUCCCCACGACUGAGGAAGCAGAGUUCAGCAAGGACAAAGACCUGGAGCAGCAGGGCCAGCGCAGAAUUCCCGGUUGCUGGACCCACGCGACCUGCUGUGUGUUUCUCCAACCCCUGCCCAGACUGAGGCCUGAAGUCCAGGGGUCCCCGCUGGGGCUUCCCCCCACGACCAGAUCGUCCCUGGUGUCUGCCUGGGCUCAGCGGCCCUGACUCCAUCCCGUGUCUGCUGAAAGUGCUCAGGAAGGUACAGACAGGUCCUGGGCGGCGGGUGGGGACCAGGAGCUGCAGGAGACCUGUGGGCCAGCCCCACAGGUCCAGAGCCGGCUCUGGCCUGAGCCCACUCGGUGGCUGGAGGAUCCAGGGAGGGAAGUGGCUCCAGGGUGGGGCCAGACUGCGAGGAUGAGGCUGCACCCCACACUGCUGUACUUAAUUCAAGCAUGAAUUAUUCCCGAUGCAGACUCGUCCAGGGACAGGGGGAAGGUUGCAGCAAAGUGACUCUCAGGGCUGGAGGAGAACGUAAUUAAUAGCCCUCAAGCUCCACAUUCAUCCCUGAAGCCUGGUCCAUGCCUCCUGCCCGCAUGAGCGUCCCAGGGAAGUGGCAGCCAGGACUUCCUGGGGCAAGGAUUGGGGAAGGGGAGGGGCACCCUACUACUCUCAGUGCUGGGCCAGGGUCUGUGGCCACGGGGCACUGCCAAGGGCAUGUGGCGGGUCCCUUCCCUCCUGCAACCUCUGCCUUUCCAUCCGCAGGGCUGCCACAUGAGUCACGCUGACCCUGUGUUCAGGACACCUCAGGGGCCCUGUGGGGAGGUACAGGGGGAAAGGGUGAAUGGGUCGGGCUGGGAUCUGGACCCCCGGCUCUCACUUCAACAUUUCUGGUGCCAACAGCUUGGACCCUUUGGCCUUUGCCGCUGUCUGUGCUGCCAGCAGGACCUUGUUGGACAGGGAUCCCGAGGUUGAAGCCCGUUAGGCUCUGGUGGGCCCUGAGGGCAAAGGGCAGGAGGUGGGAUGUGCAACCACCCCUCCUGCUCAGGCCCUGGCCCCUGGCACCACAGCUACCCCAUCCACACCCAGCACAGCUCCGAGUGAGUUCCAUGUCCUGGAGGACCAGCCUGGGCAACGGGGCACGGCAAGGGGCACGCAGGUAAGGAGGAAGAGUCUUUGCACACACCCGGCCAUUCCUACCCAUGCAGCCCCUGGGUCUCGGUGCUCCCUUCACAGAAAAGGAAACUGAGGCCCAGGAAGGUUAAGUAGCUUGCCCAAGGGCGCCCCAAGGACACUGACUUCAUAUUCAGAGCUCCUUCGCCCAGGCCACCUCUGUGGCCACCAGGCCUGACACGGAUGAUGUCGGAAGUCAAGACCCACCGGGAGGGGCCGAUGGGGCCCAGAGGCCCAGGAGGAAAUCCCAGUGCCUUGCCUGGGGUCAGGCAAGGCCCUGAGAACUGACCCCUGAAGGCCAGCUGGGCGCACGGGCCAGACAAAGAUGGUGUGUGUGGGGGAUGCUACUUGGGGCCGGGACAGGCCAUAGGCAAGCCCAGCUGGGGCAUCUAUCUUUUUGCACCCCCUUCCCUUCCUGGAGAGCAGGCCCCAGCUGUGUUCUGUCCUGUAGCCCUUGCAUGGCCCCCUCCCCUCCAGAAUUGUGCUUCCAGGGUCAGAGCCAUAAACACACAGAAGCAUGGGGCAUGGGCUGCAGCUGCCCCAGACGAGCCUGGGCACCCUGGCAGCUGUCUUGACCUCGGCCACCUCCACUGUGACCCAGACCUCAAACGAGCCUAGACCACCCCACAAUGGACAGGAAACGUGAGGCUGAAACACGGACCUGGCCCAGCUCAUCACCCUGGUAAGACUACUGUGCCAAUCCUCAAAGCCACAGCCCUCUUUAGGGGGCUCAGUCCCUCUGGGAUCCUUCUGGGCCUGAGAAAAUGAUGUUUCUCCCACCUGGUUCAGGUGGUUCAUCCCAAAUGAUGCCAGGGGUGGGCAGACACUUUGGGGCCAAGAGCCUUUGUGGUAAGCCUGGAGCUCCCUCCAGCCCUGGCACUGCCAGGGUAACUUUGAGCUCCCCCCAUCCAUGGAGGGCCUGAGUCCCCCCAUCUGCAAACCACGGUGGGGGCCACCACACUCAGGCUGCCAGCACAGCUCAAGAACUGGCACAGCAGGCGCCCUGCAGAGCUCAGCCAGAGGACCUGCCACCAGCCUCAGCAUCUAUCAUGGCCAAGCUUGUGUUUGGGGGCCCUGGGCAACCAGGCACUUGAAUACACAAGGCCACUAGGACUCCAGCUAGGGCUCCAAGAAAUCACCUCUUGUGACUUGCCAGGCUCUCCUGCCCCGCUCGAUGACCCUGCCUGCGGCUGUCCCUGGCACUACCCGGCUGCCCUGGGGGCUCUCACCAGGUCUGGGCUCUCAAGGGGAAGGUGGGGCUGGCUCUGUUACCGAGCUCUCAUUCUCUGCUGGGCCAGGGAGGCCUCCUUCCUCUCCAAGCUGCUGGCCUUUCCACGGGGAUACCCUUGGCCCCUGCCCAGGGUCAGCUAGACCAGCCCGUCCUCCAGGCAAGUCAGCAUCCAGGACGGAAGGAUGGGUGGCGUCCUGUGGAGCGGGUGGAGGCUGCGACACCCCAGCCUGUGGGUCUCCAGGCACUGUCCGCCCCACCAGGCCUCCAUCAGGAGCGGGGGCCCUCAGGUCUCAUGUUCUGGAACACUCUGCUCCUUCCAGUCAACCCCUAAGGCCAAGCCAGUGACUUUCCUUCUUCUUCUUCCUCAUUCCCUCCCCCAAACCUGAGGGGCAUCAGCUCAGGAGGGGGUGGGCUGAGGGGCUUCAAGAAAAUGAGGCUGGGGCGAAGGCCUGGGUACAGCAUAGGUCCCUCCCCACCAGGGAGCUGCUGGCCCUCACUCACCUCUAGCGCUUGGCCUCCCUGCAGCCUCAGACAGAGGAAACCCAGGCUGCGGUCUCCCCCACCCCACCCGGGACCUGUUGAUGGCAGCACUGCACCCCUGCCCAGGAAGGGCAGGGCGCCCCUGAGAAGAUGGAGACCUCUGCCCACUGGGGCUGCUUCCUGAGGGGCAUGGACCUGGACAGGGCCGGGCAGAGCCUGCCCUGAGCCUGAGCCUCUCCAGGGCCGGUGCUAUAGGCUCUUCUGUUUUGCCUUCUUUUCUGAAACAAGCCACCAGCUAGCCCAGCGCUGGUGAGGUUUGGGACAGAUAUGGUGCCUGCUCAGGAUGCUGUGGUCUCUCUCUUUGCAGGUGAGCCCACCUCCCUGACCUCCCUUUCUCUCCAUACUCUGCCUGGGUCCCCAUGGCCUGGCCAACCACUGUCCCCUCUCUCUCACUGGUGCCAGUGCCCCUAGUUGUGGAGUGGGGCAUUCUCCGGCGGAAACAUCUGCUCACCAGCCCCCGGCAUUGUUCUUUUGGCCGGGGCUUCCAGGCUUUUGAGAGCCCCUUUGCAGAAGCUGGGGAACACGAGAGACCUCCCCUGAGAGCAGACAGAUGCCCCCGACACGGUUUUAUGGAGGGCGGCAGAGGUCACCCAGGCUAAGAACCCUGGGGAUGUCCUCCCACUCAGGGUCUGGGCGACCACCUUUGCCUUCGUGCUGGUGCCCUGAGCCUGGGGAUGUCCCCCAACUCGGGGUCUGGGCGGCUGCCUUUGCCUUCAUGCUGGUGCCCUCAGGACCCGGAGUACCUGAUGGUGAGUCUAGCCGCUGACCAGGCAGCUCCCCCAGGAGUCCUGAGGCCCUGGUGAAAUGCCAGCCCCCGCAGGCAGCACUGUGCCCAGCUGGGUGGUCCACAGGCUGAGGCAGGUUGGGUCUGGGCCCUUCUAACCCUGGGGCCCCAUUCAGGGUGACGCCAGGAGCAUGGGUGUCCGUGGAAUAGACAGAGACCCACACAUGCUGGCAGGCGAGCAGCAACAAUGCCAGCAUGCCAGGGGAAGCUGGUCAAGAGGGGCAUGGAAAGAGCUGGGGAGCCCUGCUGGACCCCAAACACAGGCGAGAGCAUGGGGCCUCCAGCCUUGCAGGGACGGGGCGCUGGCGGCUCCCCAUGACCCUCCUGCCUGCCCUGGAGGCUGCAAGGCCUGAUGGGCGAUGGCCUGGGAGCUGCCACCGCCUCCUCUCUUUUCUCCUCCUCCUUCCUCUUCCUCCUCCUUCCACCCUCCUCCUCUUUCUUCUCUUCACCUUUC